GGGGGGUGCUGCUUACAGAGAAGAAAAAGACGAAGUCAACCCUAUCAAGAAACCGAGGAUCCAUCGCAUCUCAUGAGAGCUCUCGCCAUCGGAAAUUCUCACAACUCAUUCAGAUCCGCCAACCGCUUGAAGAAAAAAUGCCGAGUCGAAGGCCUCCGCCGGGAACAGGAUCCCCUGUGCAAUUAAGAUGGUUAUAUCACUCUACAAGCCUUGCCGAUUCCUGACCAGCCUCAGUAGCUCCUUCUAGGGUUACAUCGUUCAGAGCCCCAUCGAGAGCAGUAAGUCAACUCCUCGGGAUUCAUUCUACAUGUUCUGGCCUCCAAUUCAUGCGGCGUGUUCGUUGGCCUCUCCUCUAAUCUCCAUUCUGGCGAUCGCGGUCCAAUUCCGGGCGUUCGUUCUAGGGGCCCAAGGGUGUGAUGGGGGGCGUGAUUCAUCCGAAUUUUGCUGUCUUGGCGCCGCCAGAUUUGGCGUCCUCGCCCUCCGCGGGUGCGGCCUGGAAGAACAAAGUAAAAAGUUCAGAUCAGACUGCCGCCGUGUGAUUUUUCUUUUUUUUUUCGUUCUUGAUCAGGUUUGGCGGGGAGGCUCGCGGAUUACUUGGUUUCCGG
rnacentral:lncRNA from 1 species